GCGGAUUGGUUUGGCUCUGCCUCAGUCUGGUCACCUCAGCCAUGCCCCGGCCAGCCACGGGGAGGGAGCUGAGGGUGUCCCAAAUUACCUGUGUUCUCUGGGCCUGUUGGCUCCGCAGCGUGGUCACCAUCCCUCUUCCCAGAGGGAUGAAACCCGCCCCCCUAAAAAAAAAGCUUUCAUUUUCCAUAAACGUCCUUAACGCCGCCCACGUUUGACUCGGUGCAGAGCGCCCAGCGGGCCAAGGCGUCCCUCAACGGGGCUGACAUUUACUCCGGCUGCUGCACGCUGAAGAUCGAAUACGCCAAGCCCACCCGCCUCAACGUUUUCAAGAACGACCAGGAUACCUGGGACUACACCAACCCCAACCUCAGCGGACAAGGGUCGCAGUGUAUGUUUGAUGGGACGCCAUCUUUCAGAACUGUGCUAACUCACUCUUGAAGCGUCCAAUGGUAAGAGAAAUACGGAAUUGUUAUAUGCCAAUGGACAUUGUACUUUGUACUCCCGCUGUAAGUAGCCCUUUCCGAUCUCUGUAAUCCACUCGGAAUAAACCUGUGCGAAACCCGGUCGCGGUAAAGGGAAGAGAAGAGCGACUGUACGGCGACGCGAGCGUGGUUCUGCCUUGUACGUGAUGGCUCGUUUUAACCUGUUACCGCUGUUGCUUUGCUGCCUGUACCAGUCUCGCUCCCCCUCCCGCUUGGUCGGGGCGGGGAGGUGUCUUGCCACUUUAUUAUUUAAUUUAUAUUUUUAUUUUUUUUU